CGCCGCGGCUACACCGUGGGGCCCAAGCUGAUGGUCAUCGGCGUUAAGCGUGAUUAAAGUUCCCACCAAUUAGGGUUAAAUUAACACUUAGUAGUGAUAAGCUUGUUGUUAAGAAAACCGUAAACGAAAGUUACCCUAAUUACACUUGAAUACACGACAGCUAGGAAGA
rnacentral:rRNA from 1 species